GUGGCAACCUUGUAAUUGUUGCAUCAAUCAGCCAUUUAAUGUGACUUUAAGGCUGCCACGUAUAUAAAGUGGUUCCUGCCGACAGGACCUGUCCAGAUAUCAGGCUUCCUGUGCGAUGGCUCCAAACAAA